GGAGCAGCCCAGGCAACAUCUGUAGGGGCUGCUUACUGUGAACCUGAACCGCAUCCUGCCCACGCGCUGGAUUCCAUCCAGCACCGAUUUGCCUUAUCAUCGCAUCUCAUCAUGUGCCACAGCAUCGACAGGAACAAGCAGCCCUGAUGAGGAAAGGACACAGUCCCCGUGAAAGAGCAUUUUGCACGCCUUAUCCUGGUAUGCAAGACCACUUAAAGAUCCGGCGACCACAGCUUGAUGCUUUGCCGGUGAAGACCUUUUUUACAGCCGCUGAACGUCACGCGUGAACCCAAAAGAAAUGAAGGUCUAACGUACUGUGCUAAUAGAG
rnacentral:lncRNA from 1 species